rnacentral:rRNA from 1 species
CGCCUGGGGAGUACGGCCGCAAGGUUAAAACUCAAAUGAAUUGACGGGGGCCCGCACAAGCGGUGGAGCAUGUGGUUUAAUUCGAUGCAACGCGAAGAACCUUACCUACUCUUGACAUCCUAAGAAGCUUUCAGAGAUGAGAGUGUGCCUUCGGGAACUUAGAGACAGGUGCUGCAUGGCUGUCGUCAGCUCGUGUUGUGAAAUGUUGGGUUAAGUCCCGCAACGAGCGCAACCCUUAUCCUUUGUUGCCAGCGAUUUGGUCGGGAACUC